UCAAUAAAAAAAGAGUAAAUGAGUGUCUCCAUCCCCCAUAAUUUAAGAUAGUUGGUUUGGGCUGAAACCAGAAGCUCUUGCCUCUCCACCCACAUGCAGGUGACUAUCCCAUGCACUCAGGAAGUUGAUCAAAGUCACACCUAGUGUUUCCCAACACCAUCCAAGAUCAGCAGAAAACAUUCAGAAACUUCCUUAGCACAAGCCCCAUUGAAAUUGUAUCAUGAUGGGAUUGAGUUCACUCAGCAAGCCUGCUGAUGACACCAAGCGGAGUGGUGCAGUUGACACAAUAGAAGGAAGGGAUGUUGUCUGAGACAGGGGAAGGCCCAGGAGUGUUUAUUGGCUGAAGAUUUGUCCUGAGAGCAAAUGAAACCAGCUGAUACAAGAGAUUUGGAGAUGAUACUACUGUAUCUCAUGAAGGCAAAAUAGAAGCUGGCUUUUCCCUUCUUCCUCUACCUGCUGACUUAAAUUUGCAAGGUCUAGAAGACAGUAACAAGGGAGUUUCUGCUGAGAUCCUGAAGCCAGGAGCCAUCACUGCAGAAGAGCAGCCUCAGCUCUUUGGACUAUGAGUUUGUAAUGUCGUCAUUAGUCAUCAGCUGACCAACACAAUCUCUGGAUGACCCACCACUAGUGGAGAUCAGCACCUGACACCGAGACAUAGUUGGAUCAAGGAGUAGUGAACCACUUUGCUCUGUGUAUCUGUCUGUCUGUCUCUUUCCUCAUUUUUUAAAAUCUUUUCUCUUUAUCUUCUUUUACUCUUUCACUCUGUGCAGUAGCCAUUGCCUAAUAAUUUCUUACCUGUAACUCCUAUUAAUCAUAAUUAGCAAAUUAGCCAAUGUUACCUCUGAGAGCAUUAGUUGUUGUUAAAAAAGAUUUCAAUAAGUUGUUGUGUGUUAUUCCUCUGAGUCUAGGAUGACUUGCAGACCCCUGCUGACUAGAAGAGGUGUGACUCAGGAGACAGAAAAGGAUUCACCUCCCUCUAAACCUACUGUGUGGGACAAGACAGAUGACAUCCAGAGGGACCUGGACAGGCUCGAGGAGUGGGCACAUGAACACCUAACAAUGUUCACCAAGGCCAAAUUGACUUUACUUCCUUCUGCUUGAUCAGGAAGCUGCAUGGCCAGAGACAGAAGGGGAAAAAAAAUAAUCCUAGGCUCAGGAUGCAGAUCUCACUAACUCCCUUGGAAAGAGAUGGUGGCACAGUAUCCAGGGCAACAUUCUUCCUCUUGCUUCUGAUUAGCAAGAAAUGCAUCAAGUACAAAGGCUCUCCUCCCUGCUGCUCAACCGGACUGUGCAUCUCACCU